rnacentral:rRNA from 1 species
UACGAAGGGGGGCUAGCGUUGUUCGGAAUUACUGGGCGUAAAGCGCACGUAGGCGGAUAUUUAAGUCAGGGGUGAAAUCCCAGAGCUCAACUCUGGAACUGCCUUUGAUACUGGGUAUCUAGAGUAUGGAAGAGGUGAGUGGAAUUCCGAGUGUAGAGGUGAAAUUCGUAGAUAUUCGGAGGAACACCAGUGGCGAAGGCGGCUCACUGGUCCAUUACUGACGCUGAGGUGCGAAAGCGUGGGGAGCAAACAGG